rnacentral:rRNA from 1 species
AUUGAACGCUGGCGGCAGGCCUAACACAUGCAAGUCGAACGAGUGGCGGACGGGUGAGUAAUGUCUGGGAAACUGCCUGAUGGAGGGGGAUAACUACUGGAAACGGUAGCUAAUACCGCAUACCAUCAGAUGUGCCCAUAUGGGAUUAGCUUGUUGGUGGGGUAACGGCUCACCAAGGCGACGAGCCCUGGCUGGUCUGAGGGGAUGACCAGCCAAACUGGAACGGUGACACGGCGCAGACUCCUACGGGGGGCAGCGGUGUGGAAUAUUGCACAAUGGGAGCAAGCGUGAUGCAGCCAGGCCGCGUGUAUGAAGAAGGCCUGCGGGUUGUAAAGUACUUUCAGCGGGGAGGCGUUACCGCAGAAGAAGCACCGGCUAACUCCGUGCCAGCAGCCGCGGUAAUUC